UGGCAGCCGGAGAGUCAAGAUAUCUUGGCUUU
rnacentral:piRNA from 1 species